CUCUGAAAUGUGUCUGGCCAUUGUUACCUCAUGUAAAAACCCCUUCAUGUGAUCCAUAGCAGUGUUUGCUGUGCGUCCUCUGUGCUACAGUGUCAAGUUGCUGUGUGUUGUUUGCAAGGGAAAGGACGGGGGACAGUGUUUGUACAAUAGUUGCAGUCUGUUCCUCCUCCAUAUUGUUUGGCUCAAUCCACAAUCCUCCAUCCACCGGACAAAGCCUUAUUGAUAGUAGCCCACAUACUGUAUCUGCUUACCAUGGAUUAGCUCUGGACUAAUCUUGACAUGAGAAUGGGAAGAAAGAAAGAAAGAAAGAAAGAAAAGAGGAAAAAAGUUGACAUUCACACACCCAUACGCAGUUAACAAACACUGUAAAACCAUUUAAGUUAAUUUAAAAAAAGGUUGAAACUGAUUAAAUUGAAGAUUUUAAAUAAAGUUACCUCAAUAUUUAAAGUUAAAAAAACAUUCUUGAUUAAGUAGCAUUAGUCAUUUUAAGUGACACUGACUUAAACUGGGGUGGCUGUGGGCUCAGAAGGUUGGCAGUUCGAGCCCCGCUUCCUCCUACUGCAUGGAGUAUCCUUGCAGUUUCACUUAAAAUUAGUAGUAAAACCUGUUUUAUCGAUAAACUGAGUUUGUGUUACAUAAAAUGUUUGAUGUAAUCAGUUUCAACAAUUGUUUUGAGUUAAAAUAACUCAAACAUGCAUAGUGUGUCUGUGUGUGUAUCCAAAACAACACCUACUGUACAUACAGUAUAUUUCACAUUAAAGUUGCAAAUAUAUUGCUUUGGUUUGUUUACAUCCAUUUAGUCUUUAUUUAUAUAAAUACACAGAUGUGUGUUCCACUCCCAUUCAGCUCUUCACUUACCAUGUAUACUGCGUGAAGCACCACAGGGCUCUGGAUCACACUGCAAUGCACUAUAGCAAUCCUCUUUGAGAUUUAAAGGAAAGAGUAUGAAGUCAGUACACUACAUACAAAUGAGUAAACAAACAAAAAUUACCAACCUGUGGUUGUGUGCGUCCACCAACCUGUCGCAAAGCAGUUUAGAUUAAUGUUUGUUCAGACUCAUAAAUUGCUAAAUGGAAGUUAUCACUAUAUUGAUGAUACAUACAUAUGAUCCCAGUGAAUUCUGUUUCAAACAGAUUCAAUAAAUAAAUCAACAAUUUCUUCCAGUCUUGACUAUGCAGAGAAUAAAUGAUCUGAUAAAGGCACUGGAUGGAAAGUUGAAAAACCGCCAAUGUUAUUACAGUUCAUCCUGACGGAGACAUUAAUGUGCAAACCCUCCAAUAGUUGUCAGCAGGUGUAUCUUCAGUAACCACUUUGUUACUUACCAUGCAAGCUCAAUGAACGAAGUGAAGAGUUCCUCACUGAAAGAGAAAAGCAGAACAUUACACAGAGGCAACAAUAGUAAAUACAAUGAACUUAAUUGUAAUACACAGAAAGAAACAUGAUUUCAUGUUAUCUUUAAGAAUAUAAUAAUAACAUAAUAAAUCCACGUCAACAGACAAUAACCUUUCACUUUACACCAUCAGUGCAUUAUGGCUGGAUGCACUGAAGUACAAUGUAAUAUCUGCCCCGACAUGCUGUAAAUAAUGGAC
rnacentral:lncRNA from 15 species